rnacentral:rRNA from 1 species
GAGUCUCGUAGAGGGGGUAGAAUUCCAGGUGUAGCGGUGAAAUGCGUAGAGAUCUGGAGGAAUACCCGGUGGCGAAGGCGGCCCCUGGACGAAGACUGACGCUCAGGUGCGAAAGCGUGGGGAGCAAACAGGAUUAGAUACCUGGUAGUCCACGCCGUAAACGAUGUCGACUUGGAGGUUGUGCCCUUGAGGCGUGGCUUCCGGAGCUAACGCGUUAAGUCGACCGCCUGGGGAGUACGGCCGCAAGGUUAAAACUCAAAUGAAUUGACGGGGGCCCGCACAAGCGGUGGAGCAUGUGGUUUAAUUCGAUGCAACGCGAAGAACCUUACCUGGUCUUGACAUCCACAGAACUUUCCAGAGAUGGAUUGGUGCCUUCGGGAACUGUGAGACAGGUGCUGCAUGGCUGUCGUCAGCUCGUGUUGUGAAAUGUUGGGUUAAGUCCCGCAACGAGCGCAACCCUUAUCCUUUGUUGCCAGCGGUUAGGCCGGGAACUCAAAGGAGACUGCCAGUGAUAAACUGGAGGAAGGUGGGGAUGACGUCAAGUCAUCAUGGCCCUUACGACCAGGGCUACACACGUGCUACAAUGGCGCAUACAAAGAGAAGCAAACUCGCGAGAGCCAGCGGACCUCAUAAAGUGCGUCGUAGUCCGGAUUGGAGUCUGCAACUCGACUCCAUGAAGUCGGAAUCGCUAGUAAUCGUGAAUCAGAAUGUCACGGUGAAUACGUUCCCGGGCCUUGUACACACCGCCCGUCACACCAUGGGAGUGGGUUGCAAAAGAAGUAGGUAGCUUAACCUUCGGGAGGGCGCUUAC